UUAAGUGAAUAAGGGCGCACGGUGGAUGCCUUGGCACUAGGAGCCGAUGAAGGACGGGACUAACACCGAUAUGCUUUGGGGAGCUGUACGUAAGCUAUGAUCCAGAGAUUUCCGAAUGGGGGAACCCAACAUCUUUAAUAGGAUGUUACGAUUGUGUGAAUACAUAGCACAUUCGAGGUAGACGCAGAGAACUGAAACAUCUAAGUACCUGCAGGAAGAGAAAGAAAAUUCGAUUCCCUGAGUAGCGGCGAGCGAAACGGGAAAAGCCCAAACCAGCAAGCUUGCUUGUUGGGGUUGUAGGACUCCAAUAUGGUAGUUCUUUCAGAUAGUCGAAUGACUUGGAAAAGUCAGUCAAAGAGGGUAAAAACCCCGUAGACGAAAUGUGGAAGACACCUAGGAGGAUCCUGAGUACGGCGGAACACGAGAAAUUCCGUCGGAAUCCGGGAGGACCAUCUCCCAAGGCUAAAUACUCCCUAGUGACCGAUAGUGAACCAGUACCGUGAGGGAAAGGUGAAAAGCACCCCGGAAGGGGAGUGAAAUAGAACCUGAAACCGUGUGCCUACAACAAGUCAAAGCCCGUUAAUGGGUGAUGGCGUGCCUUUUGUAGAAUGAACCGGCGAGUUACGAUUGCAUGCGAGGUUAAGUUGAAGAGACGGAGCCGCAGCGAAAGCGAGUCUGAAUAGGGCGUUUGAGUAUGUAGUCGUAGACCCGAAACCAUGUGAUCUACCCAUGUCCAGGUUGAAGGUGCGGUAAAACGCACUGGAGGACCGAACCCACGUACGUUGAAAAGUGCGGGGAUGAGGUGUGGGUAGCGGAGAAAUUCCAAACGAACUUGGAGAUAGCUGGUUCUCUCCGAAAUAGCUUUAGGGCUAGCCUCGGAAUUGAGAAUGAUGGAGGUAGAGCACUGUUUGGACUAGGGGCCCAUCUCGGGUUACCGAAUUCAGAUAAACUCCGAAUGCCAUUCAUUCAUAUCCGGGAGUCAGACUGUGAGUGAUAAGAUCCAUAGUCGAAAGGGAAACAGCCCAGACCACCAGCUAAGGUCCCAAAAUAUAUGUUAAGUGGAAAAGGAUGUGGGGUUGCACAGACAACUAGGAUGUUGGCUUAGAAGCAGCCAUCAUUUAAAGAGUGCGUAAUAGCUCACUAGUCGAGUGACCCUGCGCCGAAAAUGUACCGGGGCUAAACAUAUUACCGAAGCUGUGGAGUACACCUUUAGGUGUAUUGGUAGGAGAGCGUUCUAAGGGCGUUGAAGGCAGAUCGUGAGGACUGCUGGAGCGCUUAGAAGUGAGAAUGCCGGUAUGAGUAGCGAAAGACAGGUGAGAAUCCUGUCCACCGAAUGACUAAGGUUUCCUGGGGAAGGCUCGUCCGCCCAGGGUUAGUCGGGACCUAAGCCGAGGCCGACAGGCGUAGGCGAUGGAUAACAGGUUGAUAUUCCUGUACCCGUUGUUUUUGUUUGAGCAAUGGAGGGACGCAGGAGGCUAAGGAAUGCAGACGAUCGGAAAUGUCUGUCCAAGCAGUAAGUCUGAAGAGGAGUCAAAUGCUUCUUUUCUUAAGGACAAGCUGUGAUGGGGAGGGAAAUAAUAGUACCGAAGUUCCUGAUGUCACACUGCCGAGAAAAGCUUCUAGUGAGAAAACAGCGGCCCGUACCGCAAACCGACACAGGUAGUCGAGGAGAGAAUCCUAAGGUGAGCGAGAGAACUCUCGUUAAGGAACUCGGCAAAAUGACCCCGUAACUUCGGGAGAAGGGGUGCUGAUCAUACGAUCAGCCGCAGUGAAUAGGCCCAAGCGACUGUUUAUCAAAAACACAGGUCUCUGCAAAAUCGUAAGAUGAAGUAUAGGGGCUGACGCCUGCCCGGUGCUGGAAGGUUAAGAGGAGUGCUUAGCGCAAGCGAAGGUACGAAUUGAAGCCCCAGUAAACGGCGGCCGUAACUAUAACGGUCCUAAGGUAGCGAAAUUCCUUGUCGGGUAAGUUCCGACCCGCACGAAAGGCGUAACGAUUUGGGCACUGUCUCAACGAGAGACUCGGUGAAAUUUUAGUACCUGUGAAGAUGCAGGUUACCCGCGACAGGACGGAAAGACCCCAUGGAGCUUUACUGUAGUUUGAUAUUGAGUGUCUGUACCGCAUGUACAGGAUAGGUAGGAGCCGUAGAAAUCGGAACGCUAGUUUCGAUGGAGGCGCUGGUGGGAUACUACCCCUGCGUUAUGGCCACUCUAACCCGCACCACUAAUCGUGGUGGGAGACAGUGUCAGAUGGGCAGUUUGACUGGGGCGGUCGCCUCCUAAAAGGUAACGGAGGCGCCCAAAGGUUCCCUCAGAAUGGUUGGAAAUCAUUCGAAGAGUGUAAAGGCAGAAGGGAGCUUGACUGCGAGACCAACAAGUCGAGCAGGGACGAAAGUCGGGCUUAGUGAUCCGGUGGUUCCGCAUGGAAGGGCCAUCGCUCAACGGAUAAAAGCUACCCUGGGGAUAACAGGCUUAUCUCCCCCAAGAGUCCACAUCGACGGGGAGGUUUGGCACCUCGAUGUCGGCUCGUCGCAUCCUGGGGCUGUAGUCGGUCCCAAGGGUUGGGCUGUUCGCCCAUUAAAGCGGCACGCGAGCUGGGUUCAGAACGUCGUGAGACAGUUCGGUCCCUAUCCGUCGCGGGCGUUGGAAAUUUGAGAGGAGCUGUCCUUAGUACGAGAGGACCGGGAUGGACUUACCGCUGGUGUACCAGUUGUUCUGCCAAGGGCAUUGCUGGGUAGCUAUGUAGGGAAGGGAUAAACGCUGAAAGCAUCUAAGUGUGAAGCCCACCUCAAGAUGAGAUUUCCCAUUUCUUUAAGAAAGUAAGAUCCCUGAGAGAUGACCAGGUAGAUAGGUCAGGAGUGGAAGUACAGUGAUGUAUGGAGCGGACUGAUACUAAUCGAUCGAGGACUUAACCAA
rnacentral:rRNA from 1 species